rnacentral:misc_RNA from 1 species
UCCGGUUUACCACCGGCAGUCUCCUUAGAGUGCUCGGCUUGACCCGUUAGCAACUAAGGACAAGGGUUGCGCUCGUUGCGGGACUUAACCCAACAUCCCACGACACGAGCUGACGACAGCCAUGCAGCACCUGUGCACCGGCCCCGAAGGGAAGGUGUGUUUCCACACCCGUCCAAUGCAUGUCAAGCCUGGGUAAGGUUCUUCGCGUUGCGUCGAAUUAAACCACAUGCUCCACCGCUUGUGCGGGCCCCCGUCAAUUCCUUUGAGUUUCAACCUUGCGGCCGUACUCCCCAGGCGGCUCACUUAAUGCGUUAGCUGCGGCACUGGAGGGGUCGCUCCCCCAAGCACCUAGUUCCCAUCGUUUACGGCGUGGACUAC